GUCCUCGUAGCUUAGUGGUCAGAGCAUUGGAUUCGGGUUCGAUUCCCGGCGGGGGUA
rnacentral:tRNA from 1 species